CAAAUACCGGUUCCCAUAGGAUCACUGAAGUUAAGCAACGUUGAGACAGGUCGGUACCCAGAUGGGUGACCGCUUGGUAAUACCAGGUGCUGUAG